CUAAUACCGCAUAACAACUUGGACCGCAUGGUCCGAGCUUGAAAGAUGGCUUCGGCUAUCACUUUUGGAUGGUCCCGCGGCGUAUUAGCUAGAUGGUGGGGUAACGGCUCACCAUGGCAAUGAUACGUAGCCGACCUGAGAGGGUAAUCGGCCACAUUGGGACUGAGACACGGCCCAAACUCCUACGGGAGGCAGCAGUAGGGAAUCUUCCACAAUGGACGAAAGUCUGAUGGAGCAACGCCGCGUGAGUGAAGAAGGGUUUCGGCUCGUAAAACUCUGUUGUUAAAGAAGAACAUAUCUGAGAGUAACUGUUCAGGUAUUGACGGUAUUUAACCAGAAAGCCACGGCUAACUACGUGCCAUCAGCCGCGGUAAUACGUAGGUGGCAAGCGUUGUCCGGAUUUAUUGGGCGUAAAGCGAGCGCAGGCGGUUUUUUAAGUCUGAUGUGAAAGCCUUCGGCUCAACCGAAGAAGUGCAUCGGAAACUGGGAAAACUUGAGUGC
rnacentral:rRNA from 1 species